CCGUGACAAAUAUAACAUAUGGGGCUACAUAUAAUACACAGUGCCAAUGUCAUUAUCGCAAAACACUGCAAGGAAUUAGUGGGAAAUGUUAUUAUUUCAUGUUAAGUAAUUGCCAUGGAUCUUCGAUUGUUGUUUUUUGGUCAUUGACAAUAUGUGAUAUAAUUGCAAUCUGAUUUCAUAGAUUCCAAAUUUUAUGUUAAUUGCAAAUCUACCUAAUUGCAGCAAUCAUAUGCAGUCAGUCUUUGUGAAAGAAUAAAAUGAAAUUUUAAAAUUUUUGGUUACAUUUAAAUUUAUUUCAUCAAUGUUGUAUGUAUGAUUGUUGCAAGUCAAUUGCUUAAGUACUCAUUAUUUUCCGAGGUUCGACGCAUUGCAUAGAGAUAGCGAAACUAGAAAAAGGAUUUGACAUGGUGGGCUAGGAUAAAUCUAGUAACAAUUGAUUUAUUUUUUUAAAGAAGAAAGGAUUAAAAGUGGGAAACCAUAGGUGCAUAAAUAGGCCUAGCCUAUCAGGCUUAGGAAAUGCACCUCGACGUGCACCCACAAAUAAAUGGGGUUAAACUUUGGUUAACUCAUAUCAGCCUUAAAUCUAAAUCAUAGCAAAGGUAGGUCCAAGUGACUGACGGUAACACUUGCUUAUGCUCUACAGUCAAAAAUUCACCCCGCCAGACAUGCACAGUAAAACCUGAGGCUGUGGUUGGUAUCGUUACUAUUUUUUUUAAAAAAAAAUAGAAAUAGAAAAUCUAUUUUGAAUUUUUUUAGAUUUUUUAGAUAAUAUGUUUGAUUCAGUCUCUCAUUUUUUUAAACAAUAAGAACUGAUGGGUAAAUAUUAUUUUAUUAUAUUAUAUUAAAUAUAACUACAAAAAUCUAUUUGAAAUUAUUAUAAUAAUUAUAUAUUAUAAUUAGAAUAAGAAAGAAAUAUUUCAUUCAUAAUUUUUUGAAUAUUAUCAUAAUCAUUAUAUUAUAUUUUUUAUAUUAUUAUAAUAAAAUUAUAUAUUAUUAAAUAAUUAUUAUAUUAAUUAUAAUAGUUUAACAACUAGAUGUAGUACUAUAUAUAAUAAUAAUAGUAACGUAAUAUAAUAUAUAAUU
rnacentral:lncRNA from 1 species